rnacentral:siRNA from 1 species
UGGUAGGUCUUUCAGCAUGC